AUUGAACGCUGGCGGCAGGCCUAACACAUGCAAGUCGAACGAGUGGCGGACGGGUGAGUAAUGUCUGGGAAACUGCCCGAGGGAGGGGGAUAACUACUGGAAACGGUAGCUAAUACCGCAUACCAUCGGAUGUGCCCAGAGGGGAUUAGCUAGUAGGUGGGGUAAAGGCGAACCUAGGCGACGAUCCCUAGCUGGUCUGAGAGGAUGACCAGCAACACGGGACCUGAGACACGGACCAGACGCCUCCGGGAUGCAGCAGUGGGGAAGAUUGCACAAUGGGCGCAAGCCUGAUGCAGCCAUGCCGCGUGUAUGAAGAAGGCUUUCGGGUUUUAAAGUACUUUCAGCGGGGAGGCGUUACCCGCAGAAGAAGCACCGGCUAACUCCGUGCCAGCAGCCGCGGUAAUAC
rnacentral:rRNA from 1 species